rnacentral:rRNA from 1 species
AGGACGAACGCUGGCGGCGUGCUUAACACAUGCAAGUCGAGCGGUAAGGCUCCUUCGGGAGUACACGAGCGGCGAACGGGUGAGUAACACGUGAGUAAUCUGCCCUUCACUUCGGGAUAACCACCGGAAACGGUGGCUAAUACCGGAUACGACCAGCCUUGGCAUCAGGUGCUGGUGGAAAGUCUUUUCGGUGAAGGAUGUGCUCGCGGCCUAUCAGCUUGUUGGUGAGGUAACGGCUCACCAAGGCUUCGACGGGGUAGCCGGCCUGAGAGGGUGACCGGCCACACGUGGGACUGAGACACGGCCCAGACUCCUACGGGAGGCAGCAGUGGGGAAUAUUGGACAAGUGGGACGAAAGCCUG